GAAAAAUUCUUUACUUGUUUAAUACAGAAAAUGAUUAAAUUAUGUACCUGUUUUAUAUACCAAUGACUACUUAAUGAAUGAUUAUAAAAGAAAUGAGAACCUUACCCUUCUAAAUUUUAAUUACCACAAUAAUUCAAAUACAUAGAAUCCUCCAUUUUUCUAAUUCAGAAGAUGAUUCUACCUGUGUUAUGUACCAAUGACUACUUAAAUGAUUAUAACAGAAAUGUUAUCAUUUUACCAAUUAUUUCUCUAUGACAAAAUAUAUUAUUUAAAUAUUCGGUAUUCGGCCGAAUAUAAUAAAAGCAGCCGAAUAGGCCGAAUACCGAAUAGUAACCGAAUAU